GAUGAACGCUGGCGGCGUGCCUAAUACAUGCAAGUCGAGCGAACAGACGAGGAGCUUGCUCCUUCGACAUUAGCGGCGGACGGGUGAGUAACACGUAGGUAACCUACCUAUAAGACUGGGAUAACUUCGGGAAACCGGAGCUAAUACCGGAUAAUAUUUCGAACCGCAUGGUUCGAUAGUGAAAGAUGGCUUUGCUAUCACUUAUAGAUGGACCUGCGCCGUAUUAGCUAGUUGGUAAGGUAACGGCUUACCAAGGCAACGAUACGUAGCCGACCUGAGAGGGUGAUCGGCCACACUGGAACUGAGACACGGUCCAGACUCCUACGGGAGGCAGCAGUAGGGAAUCUUCCGCAAUGGGCGAAAGCCUGACGGAGCAACGCCGCGUGAGUGAUGAAGGUCUUCGGAUCGUAAAACUCUGUUAUUAGGGAAGAACAAACGUGUAAGUAACUGUGCACGUCUUGACGGUACCUAAUCAGAAAGCCACGGCUAACUACGUG
rnacentral:rRNA from 1 species